rnacentral:lncRNA from 1 species
UUCUUUCCUAAAUAUAGAUUAAUUCUUUGUGUCACAUAAGUAGUUUUUGUUUACAAUAUUCAUCCCACUCCAAACCACAAUCGCAGCUCCUUCUAAAAUACCUACCUCUACCACCACCGUCCUAUUGAACAAAGAGAAUUAGAGAAAUAGCAACAAUAUGCGGCAAUGCAUUGACCAAAGCAUUGAAACCCCAAAUUUCUUUCUACUUAGAUUCUUGUCAGCACAAGGUAGGUAGGAUCCACUCCAUCUAGCGAAUCCC